UAAGCGACUAAGCGUACACGGUGGAUGCCCUGGCAGUCAGAGGCGAUGAAGGACGUGCUAAUCUGCGAUAAGCGUCGGUGAGGUGAUAUGAACCGUUAUAACCGGCGAUUUCCGAAUGGGGAAACCCAGUGUGUUUCGACACACUAUCAUUAACUGAAUCCAUAGGUUAAUGAGGCGAACCGGGGGAACUGAAACAUCUAAGUACCCCGAGGAAAAGAAAUCAACCGAGAUUCCCCCAGUAGCGGCGAGCGAACGGGGAGGAGCCCAGAGCCUGAAUCAGUGUGUGUGUUAGUGGAAGCGUCUGGAAAGGCGUGCGAUACAGGGUGACAGCCCCGUACACAAAAAUGCACAUAUUGUGAGCUCGAUGAGUAGGGCGGGACACGUGGUAUCCUGUCUGAAUAUGGGGGGACCAUCCUCCAAGGCUAAAUACUCCUGACUGACCGAUAGUGAACCAGUACCGUGAGGGAAAGGCGAAAAGAACCCCGGCGAGGGGAGUGAAAAAGAACCUGAAACCGUGUACGUACAAGCAGUGGGAGCCUCUUAAUGGGGUGACUGCGUACCUUUUGUAUAAUGGGUCAGCGACUUAUAUUCUGUAGCAAGGUUAACCGAAUAGGGGAGCCGAAGGGAAACCGAGUCUUAACUGGGCGUUAAGUUGCAGGGUAUAGACCCGAAACCCGGUGAUCUAGCCAUGGGCAGGUUGAAGGUUGGGUAACACUAACUGGAGGACCGAACCGACUAAUGUUGAAAAAUUAGCGGAUGACUUGUGGCUGGGGGUGAAAGGCCAAUCAAACCGGGAGAUAGCUGGUUCUCCCCGAAAGCUAUUUAGGUAGCGCCUCGUGAAUUCAUCUCCGGGGGUAGAGCACUGUUUCGGCAAGGGGGUCAUCCCGACUUACCAACCCGAUGCAAACUGCGAAUACCGGAGAAUGUUAUCACGGGAGACACACGGCGGGUGCUAACGUCCGUCGUGAAGAGGGAAACAACCCAGACCGCCAGCUAAGGUCCCAAAGUCAUGGUUAAGUGGGAAACGAUGUGGGAAGGCCCAGACAGCCAGGAUGUUGGCUUAGAAGCAGCCAUCAUUUAAAGAAAGCGUAAUAGCUCACUGGUCGAGUCGGCCUGCGCGGAAGAUGUAACGGGGCUAAACCAUGCACCGAAGCUGCGGCAGCGACACUAUGUGUUGUUGGGUAGGGGAGCGUUCUGUAAGCCUGUGAAGGUGGCCUGUGAGGGUUGCUGGAGGUAUCAGAAGUGCGAAUGCUGACAUAAGUAACGAUAAAGCGGGUGAAAAGCCCGCUCGCCGGAAGACCAAGGGUUCCUGUCCAACGUUAAUCGGGGCAGGGUGAGUCGACCCCUAAGGCGAGGCCGAAAGGCGUAGUCGAUGGGAAACAGGUUAAUAUUCCUGUACUUGGUGUUACUGCGAAGGGGGGACGGAGAAGGCUAUGUUGGCCGGGCGACGGUUGUCCCGGUUUAAGCGUGUAGGCUGGUUUUCCAGGCAAAUCCGGAAAACCAAGGCUGAGGCGUGAUGACGAGGCACUACGGUGCUGAAGCGACAAAUGCCCUGCUUCCAGGAAAAGCCUCUAAGCAUCAGGUAACAUCAAAUCGUACCCAAAACCGACACAGGUGGUCAGGUAGAGAAUACCAAGGCGCUUGAGAGAACUCGGGUGAAGGAACUAGGCAAAAUGGUGCCGUAACUUCGGGAGAAGGCACGCUGAUAUGUAGGUGAAGCGACUUGCUCGUGGAGCUGAAAUCAGUCGAAGAUACCAGCUGGCUGCAACUGUUUAUUAAAAACACAGCACUGUGCAAACACGAAAGUGGACGUAUACGGUGUGACGCCUGCCCGGUGCCGGAAGGUUAAUUGAUGGGGUUAGCGGUAACGCGAAGCUCUUGAUCGAAGCCCCGGUAAACGGCGGCCGUAACUAUAACGGUCCUAAGGUAGCGAAAUUCCUUGUCGGGUAAGUUCCGACCUGCACGAAUGGCGUAAUGAUGGCCAGGCUGUCUCCACCCGAGACUCAGUGAAAUUGAACUCGCUGUGAAGAUGCAGUGUACCCGCGGCAAGACGGAAAGACCCCGUGAACCUUUACUAUAGCUUGACACUGAACAUUGAGCCUUGAUGUGUAGGAUAGGUGGGAGGCUUUGAAGUGUGGACGCCAGUCUGCAUGGAGCCGACCUUGAAAUACCACCCUUUAAUGUUUGAUGUUCUAACGUUGGCCCGUAAUCCGGGUUGCGGACAGUGUCUGGUGGGUAGUUUGACUGGGGCGGUCUCCUCCUAAAGAGUAACGGAGGAGCACGAAGGUUGGCUAAUCCUGGUCGGACAUCAGGAGGUUAGUGCAAUGGCAUAAGCCAGCUUGACUGCGAGCGUGACGGCGCGAGCAGGUGCGAAAGCAGGUCAUAGUGAUCCGGUGGUUCUGAAUGGAAGGGCCAUCGCUCAACGGAUAAAAGGUACUCCGGGGAUAACAGGCUGAUACCGCCCAAGAGUUCAUAUCGACGGCGGUGUUUGGCCCCUCGAUGUCGGCUCAUCACAUCCUGGGGCUGAAGUAGGUCCCAAGGGUAUGGCUGUUCGCCAUUUAAAGUGGUACGCGAGCUGGGUUUAGAACGUCGUGAGACAGUUCGGUCCCUAUCUGCCGUGGGCGCUGGAGAACUGAGGGGGGCUGCUCCUAGUACGAGAGGACCGGAGUGGACGCAUCACUGGUGUUCGGGUUGUCAUGCCAAUGGCACUGCCCGGUAGCUAAAUGCGGAAGAGAUAAGUGCUGAAAGCAUCUAAGCACGAAACUUGCCCCGAGAUGAGUUCUCCCUGACUCCUUGAGNGUCCUGAAGGAACGUUGAAGACGACGACGUUGAUAGGCCGGGUGUGUAAGCGCAGCGAUGCGUUGAGCUAACCGGUACUAAUGAACCGUGAGGCUUAACCU
rnacentral:rRNA from 1 species